UGGGAUUUAGAUUUAAUUAAUUGAUUUAUAGUAUUUUUAUCUAAAGGCUUAGACUAGGAAAUUUAUUCUGAUAAAGAGAUGGUUCUUAAGAGAGAAAUUGGUACGACCGAGUGGAUUCGAACCACCGACCCCCACCA
rnacentral:antisense_RNA from 1 species